CAAAUACUACCAUACUCUUUAAUUGGAAAAGUUACACGUAUAUACCUUUUCAAAGCCAAAUGUCAAUUUGCUAAGAUAAAUAAUUGGUAUGAUUGAUUUGGAGUACCACCAUCAGAAGCUAGAUGUUUGUGAUUUGGUGAUCUCUCAUUAAACAUGCAAUAGAAGUAUAGAACUAUAAACCAAACAUUUUCAUUCAUAUAAAAUAAGAGAGAAAUAUUAAAUUGAAAACAAAUGACUCAUCGUGCAAUUUCAACGACAAAUAUUGUCGUGCCAUUUAUCAUUUUC
rnacentral:lncRNA from 1 species